rnacentral:rRNA from 1 species
UACGUAGGGUUCGAGCGUUAAUCGGAAUUACUGGGCGUAAAGCGUGCGCAGGCGGUUCGUGAUGUCUGAUGUGAAAGCCCCGGGCUCAACCUGGGAAUGGCAUUGGAAACUAGCGGGCUGGAGUGUGGCAGAGGGGGGUGGAAUUCCACGUGUAGCAGUGAAAUGCGUAGAGAUGUGGAGGAACACCGAUGGCGAAGGCAGCCCCCUGGGCUAACACUGACGCUCAUGCACGAAAGCGUGGGGAGCAAACAGG